rnacentral:rRNA from 1 species
GAUGAACGCUGGCGGCGUGCUUAACACAUGCAAGUCGAACGGAAAGGCCCAAGCUUGCUUGGGUACUCGAGUGGCGAACGGGUGAGUAACACGUGGGUGAUCUGCCCUGCACUUCGGGAUAAGCCUGGGAAACUGGGUCUAAUACCGGAUAGGACCACAUUUUGGAUGGUGUGGUGGAAAGUUUUUCGGUGUGGGAUGAGCUCGCGGCCUAUCAGCUUGUUGGUGGGGUAAUGGCCUACCAAGGCGUCGACGGGUAGCCGGCCUGAGAGGGUGUACGGCCACAUUGGGACUGAGAUACGGCCCAGACUCCUACGGGAGGCAGAGGUGGGGAAUAUUGCACAAUGGGCGCAAGCCUGAUGCAGCGACGCCGCGUGGGGGAUGACGGCCUUCGGGUUGUAAACUCCUUUCGCUAGGGACGAAGCGUUAUGUGACGGUACCUGGAGAAGAAGCACCGGCUAACUACGUA